rnacentral:misc_RNA from 1 species
UUUCCGUAGGUGAACCUGCGGAAGGAUCAUUAAUGGGAAAUCAAAUCAAAACAAAUGUUCUGUUGCACUGGGUGUGCUGUGUGGUGGUGGUGUGAGACACGGAGAUUCAAUCAUUGGAAUUCAAUCAUUGGAAUUCAAUCAUUGGAGAUUCAAUCAUUGGAGAUUCAAUCAUUGGAGAUUCAAUCAUUGGAGAUUCAAUCAUUGGAGAUUCAAUCAUUGGAGAUUCAAUCAUUGGAGAUUCAAUCAUUGGAGAUUCAAUCAUUGGAGAUUCAAUCAUUUGAGAUUCAAUCAUUGGAGAUUCAAUCAUUGGAGAUUCAAUCAUUGGAGAUUCAAUCAUUGGAGAUUCAAUCAUUGGAGAUUCAAUCAUUGGAGAUUCAAUCAUUCAAUCUCAAUCAUUCAAUCUCAAUCAUCGCCACACAACACAACUAUCUAUCACACUCGAUCAACAACAACACACUCACACACAACAGCAAACAACUUUUAACAAUGGAUCUCUUGGCUCUU